GUUUUCAGGAAAGGAGAAACAAUGCUGUGGUAGCAGCUGUUGUGGCCCAUUCAGUCCAUGGAGAACCUAUUCCUAGACACCAGAACCUCCUCCAUAGAUAACUAUUUCCCCUACAAGCCCCCAAUGUGACUUUAUAUCAUGAAGUCUUGGUUUUUAUUCCAGGUUUAACAUUUUAAAGAUAUUUGAAAUUCUGAGCAAAAUUGAGAAGGUUAAGUGACUUGCUUCUUCCUGGCAGAAGAGGCAGCACAUGUCAAAGUCCUGAGUUUCCUCGGCUCCUUCCAGGAUGCAAAGAUUCCUGUAAAAGAGGAUCAGACACUGCCCAGCUCUUCUGGUCAAAUGGAGGUGAAGAUGUAUCUAAAUAGAAGACUAGCUCCCAAGGCAUAGGAACGGCCCC
rnacentral:lncRNA from 1 species